rnacentral:rRNA from 1 species
CCCUUAGAUGUCCUGGGCCGCACGCGCGUUACACUGAUGCAUUCAACGAGCUUAUAACCUUGGCCGAGAGGCCUGGGCAAUCUUGUUAACGUGCAUCGUGAUAGGGAUAGAUUAUUGCAAUUAUUAAUCUUCAACGAGGAAUGCCUAGUAGGCGCAAGUCAUCAGCUUGCGUCGAUUACGUCCCUGCCCUUUGUACACACCGCCCGUCGCUCCUACCGAUUGGGUGUGCUGGUGAAAUGUUCGGAUCGGCCGUUUGUCGCGGUUUCCGCGGCUCGUGGCUGAGAAGUUCAUUAAACCCUCCCACCUAGAGGAAGGAGAAGUCGUAACA